rnacentral:rRNA from 1 species
UUUUUAUUAGAAGUAUGUGAGAUGUGGCUCAGAUUGACGCGCGGGCCGCACGCAUCACACAUGCAAGUCGACGCUGUACGCACAGAGAGCUUGCUCUCGGGUGACGAGUGGCGGACGGGUGAGUAAUGUCUGGGAAACUGCGUGAUGGAGGGGGAUAACUACUGGAAACGGUAGCUAAUACCGCAUAACGUCGCAAGACCAAAGUGGGGGACCUUCGGGCCUCAUGCCAUCAGAUGUGCCCAGAUGGGAUUAGCUAGUAGGUGGGGUAAUGGCUCACCUAGGCGACGAUCCCUAGCUGGUCUGAGAGGAUGACCAGCCACACUGGAACUGAGACACGGUCCAGACUCCUACGGGAGGCAGCAGUGGGGAAUAUUGCACAAUGGGCGCAAGCCUGAUGCAGCCAUGCCGCGUGUAUGAAGAAGGCCUUCGGGUUGUAAAGUACUUUCAGCGAGGAGGAAGGCAUUAAGGUUAAUAACCUUGGUGAUUGACGUUACUCGCAGAAGAAGCACCGGCUAACUCCGUGCCAGCAGCCGCGGUAAUACGGAGGGUGCAAGCGUUAAUCGGAAUUACUGGGCGUAAAGCGCACGCAGGCGGUCUGUCAAGUCGGAUGUGAAAUCCCCGGGCUCAACCUGGGAACUGCAUUUGAAACUGGCAGGCUAGAGUCUUGUAGAGGGGGGUAGAAUUCCAGGUGUAGCGGUGAAAUGCGUAGAGAUCUGGAGGAAUACCGGUGGCGAAGGCGGCCCCC